GUGUGGACCUAUCUCAUUUUACCCAGAGAUAACCACAAGCUGUAUUACUAAUAACUUCUUUUCUGACUGCAUUACGACCAAAUAAGCUGCAAUUGUCAGGGGAAACAUCCUGAACCUGUCAGCGACAUGGUGGUGCAGAAGCCUAAAACUAUGGGGAAAAGAUAUCUGCACUCCACACUUUACAGAGCUUACACAGAUCCUGACAUCAGGAGAAAAAUUACACCUGCUGGAGUCCCAACCACUUAUGGCUCUUGUCCUCGAUGGUCUUUCUGAUUUGGAGCUGGUUCCAUCCAAAUUUGGGCCUGUGUCACAGGGCUCACCAAUGUCUUAUCAGAGUCUGCCUCAGAAGUCCUCUGGUAGCACCAUUCUGCACCACUUGACUCCAGACUUCCCUUCUCCUCCUUUGACGCUUCCAAAUGUUUUAUGCUGUAAUGAAGGUCUUCAUUACUUGGAUGGAAAACACUUAAAAGGGUGUGUUGAAUGAUAAAAGAGACAGAAGGAAGUAUUUUAUUGUCUGUUUUUAUACGGUGGCAUUUCAGCUGGAACUGAUGAUGUCCCGUUAAAAUAAAACAAAUGAAUGGAAUGGGUCUCGUAACUGUUUGAAAUGCACUGAAAUGUUUGUGUAGAUGUAACUUACCUCUGUCUCAUCCUCUGCAGGGUGUUCAGGCUUAA